rnacentral:tRNA from 1 species
GCGCCCGUAGCUCAGCUGGACUAGAGCAACCGCCUUCUAAGCGGUAGGUCGCUGGUUCGAAUCCAGCCGGGCGCGCCA